GGGAAUAUUGCCCAAUGGGGGACACCCUGAUGCAGCGACGCCGCGUGAGUGAAGAAGUAUUUCGGUAUGUAAAGCUCUAUCAGCAGGGAAGAAAAUGACGGUACCUGACUAAGAAGCCCCGGCUCACUACGUGCCAGCAGCCGCGGUAAUACGUAGGGGGCAAGCGUUAUCCGGAUUUACUGGGUGUAAAGGGAGCGUAGGCGGCGAUGCAAGUCAGAAGUGAAAGCCCGGGGCUCAACUCCGGGACUGCUUUUGAAACUGUGUUGCUAGAUUGCAGGAGAGGUAAGUGGAAUUCCUAGUGUAGCGGUGAAAUGCGUAGAUAUUAGGAGGAACACCAGUGGCGAAGGCGGCUUACUGGACUGUAAAUGACGCUGAGGCUCGAAAGCGUGGGGAGCAAACAG
rnacentral:rRNA from 1 species